UACAGAGGUCUCAAGCGUUGUUCGGAAUUACUGGGCGUAAAGGGUGCGCAGGCCGCGCGGGCAGUCAAAUGUGUAAUUCAGGGGCUCAACCCCUGCACUGCGCUUGAUACUUCCGCGCUCGAGCUUUGGAAAGGAGUCUGGAAUUCUCGGUGUAGCAGUGAAAUGCGUGGAUAUCGAGAAGAACACUUAGGGCGAAGGCAAGACUCUGGGACAAAUGCUGACGCUCAUGCACGAAGGCUAGGGUAGCGAACGGG
rnacentral:rRNA from 1 species